CCUCAUUCUUCAUUUUUCUGGAAAACUCAACGUCUCUUCUACUCCAGCAAAGAAAUCGACAUCGAGCGUGUUUUCCUAUGGCAUGCUGGCUUAGCUACUACUGCUGAGGCUGACUGGAUCUGAUGGUGGGCUCUCCAGGUGGUGGCAGUUAUGAUGGCGCACUCUGACAAAGUUAAGUGAUCAGUAGUUUGUGUAUUGUAUCCUAUAAUUAUGUAACUAUUUUGUCAGUGAGAAUGCUGGUUGUGUUCUAGCAACCGUUCGGUGGUUGCAUUUGCGUACAGGGUUUUCGAUAAUGGUCGAAUCAUCUUUUGUUUGAUUGUUUGGUUUUGUUGUUAUUGUUCGAUUUGUUUGUUUGUCUUCGAAUUCGAGUUGUCGGUUUGUUCUUCGUGAUGUGUGGUUUUGCCACACUGUCUCCUUCUAUUGUGUCUAAUCCACAUGUCAUUCCUCCCUCUAGCCAAAAAAUUGUCAUUUCUCCCUCUAAUUUUAAUUCUAGCCUAAAGUGUUUUGUAAUAGUUACUCAUGAUGUCAUUAUUUUGUACAGAACCCCAACCUUUACUACAUGUACUACUAUACUGGAUCUGGAGGAGUGGUUGUUCUUUGUGUAACAUUUUGUAAAUAGUUAAUCCAUCUAAUUUAUGCAGAUUACCGAGACCUAACUUGUCCCUGGACUGUGCUCAUUGGAUCUGGUAUAAUCAUUGUACCUCUUUUAAUCCAUCCAAUUAUGCAGAUUACCGAGACCUAACUUGUCCCUGGACUGUGCUAUUAGAUCUGGUAUAAUCAUUGUUCCUCUUUUAAUCCAUCCAAUUAUGCAGAUUACCGAGACCUAACUUGUCCCUGGACUGUGCUAUUGGAUCUGGUAUAAUCGUUGUGUACCUCUUUUAAUCCAUCCAAUUUAUGCAGAUUACCGAGACCUAACUUGUCCCUGGACUGUGCUAUUAGAUCUGGUAUAAUCAUUGUACCUCUUUUAAUCCAUCCAAUUUAUGCAGAUUAUCGAGACCUAACUUGUCCCUGGACUGUGCUAUUGGAUCUGGUAUAAUCGUUGUGUACCUCUUUUAAUCCAUCCAAUUUAUGCAGAUUACCGAGACCUAACUUGUCCCUGGACUGUGCUAUUAGAUCUGGUAUAAUCAUUGUACCUCUUUUAAUCCAUCCAAUUUAUACAGAUUACCGAGACCUAACAUGUCCCUGGACUGUGCUAUUGGAUCUGGUAUAAUUGUUGUGUACCUCUUUUAAUCCAUUCAUUUUAUGCAGAAUACCGAGACCUAACUUGUCCCUGGACUGUGCUAUUGGAUCUGAUUACCGAGACCUAACUUGUUCCUGGACUGUGCUAUUGGAUCUGGUAUAAUCAUUGUACCUCUUGUUUAAUCUGUAUUUCAUUUUGCAGACCUUAAUAAUUUCUGUGGCAGUGGACUCUAGAGAAGUAAGCGCCGCUCUAAUCUUAGCGCCCAAACUCUAAACAAAGUUCUAUUUUUAAACCUGACAUACGUUGCUCCGCUCUAUAAUAUAGUUAAGACUUUUUACAGUAGACAAUUUAUAUAUGCGAUGUAUGUAGCUAUCGGUUAUCUGACUAUCUAAUUAACUAUUUGCCAUGUUUGGUUUCCAAUUGGUAGCCUCUUGUCGGUUGUUUGGUCUUGUCGUUGUGUUUGGUUGUGUCUCGUUAAUUUAAUGUGUUUGGUGGCCUCUUGUUGUUUACGUGUAAUAAUUAUUAUAUGUAGGGUGUUUGGUAAUGGUUUAAUUGUGUACACGUUUUGGUUGUUUAAAAUUGUUACUGUAAAAAGUCCAACAAAAACGCCACUCUAAUCAAUCUAAUCCCUAAACCCUGAAAAAAAAACUUAAAAGCAACUAACAUUUGUCGAAAUUCCAUGUACGUACCAUGGCAGCCUUUUCACGUGCAACAAACUUUAAUUAAAUCGCUUUUUUCACGUGCAAUUUUAUUUUUAUUAUUAUUAUUUAUUUAUUUUUAUUAUUAUUAUUUUUUUGAAAAUAAUAAUUAGGCCAGUGGUAGGGGUAAAAGUCUGAGCAGGUAUUCAGUUUAUGCUGUAACUA